GGGAACAACAGCUGGAAACGGCUGCUAAUACCCCAUAGGCUGAGGAGCAAAAGGAGGAAUCCGCCCAAGGAGGGGCUCGCGUCUGAUUAGUUAGUUGGUGAGGCAAUGGCUUACCAAGGCGACGAUCAGUAGCUGGUCCGAGAGGAUGAUCAGCCACACUGGGACUGAGACACGGCCCAGACUCCUACGGGAGGCAGCAGUGGGGAAUUUUCCGCAAUGGGCGAAAGCCUGACGGAGCAAUGCCGCGUGAAGGCAGAAGGC
rnacentral:rRNA from 1 species